GAUGCAUUUAAAACUCACUUAGAAUGCGCUCAUGCUUGUUGCAUGAUAGAUGAUUCUCAUGCAUAGAUCGAACGGAUGCUAGUGGUACUGGAUCAAGCUAGUAACUCACUUAGAAGUUUGUUUUAUCACUCUCAUUUUUUUAAGCAACUUUUUUUUAGCAAACCACUCUCAUGUAUAUUAGGAUGAUGAGCUGGCAGCUCAAAAAAAAUAGGAUGAUGAGCUGGCGUCAUAGGUUUUUUUUAGGACUAGCUGGCGUCAUAGGUGAAGCCUAACAUGACACAGCCCAGGGCCCAGGCCCAGUUAAAACACGACCCAGCAGUUCAGCAGGUGCGUAAACGCUCUCCGAAGGCGGAGACGCCUCCUCCUCUACGGUUCUCACUCCUCUCCUCCGUGACCUCUCUGUCCAUGGCCGCCACGAGGAAGCUCGGCAGCUCGCCGGCGGCGGCGGCGGCGAAUGGGAAGGCGUAGGCGAAGGAAGACGACGAGGAGGGGCUCUUCUCCUCGCGCUCCUUCGCCGACCUCGGCCUCCACCCCACCCUCUGCGCCCUUCUCCAAGGAGGCUCCUCAUCUGAUCUGAGCAAAGAGGCAAAGUAGGGAAGCACACACCUUGGUUAUUAAGCAGCAGCAGCAACAGAUCCAAUGCUUUGAGAGAGGAGUAGUGAGGGUGUGGACUAUGAAAGAUGAGUAGCGAGGUUGCGGUGUUGAUGUGAAGUAAAUUUGUCGUUCCUCUACCUUAUAGCUUUGUUCCCAACGUCAUAAGAUUGUGACAGAGAAUGGUCCAGAUUACAAGCAAUUACCCUGUCGAUUAGUCCUAGGCCCGGCCGCGCAUCAGACCUAUAAAAAAGGGUUUAUUAGGAGCGCUGGCAUGGGUUUUCAAUCAUUAUUAAGGUUCCUAAUUAAAUCGUUAAAGAAUCCAAGGUAAUCAAAAAAAGGAGAUGCACUAUUCAAAUAUUUUUUCUUUCUUUUCUUUUCCACUUGAUAAUUGAUAUAUAUAUAAUGGUA